UACGUAGAAGACUAGUGUUAUUCAUCUUUAGUAGGUUUAAAGGGUACCUAGACGGUAUAAUUAGUCUUAAACAGGAUACGGUUAUACUAGAGUUAUAUAUGAGAAGGCGAGUAUUUAUGGAGUAGAGUUGAAAUUCAUUGAUACCAUAACGACUGGUAACGGCGAAAAGCAACCUUUUAUCUAAUAACUGACGUUGAGGGACGAAAGGCUCGGGUCACGAACAGGG
rnacentral:rRNA from 1 species